rnacentral:rRNA from 1 species
UACAGAGGGGGCGAGCGUUGUUCGGAAUUACUGGGCGUAAAGGGCGCGUAGGCGGCCCGCUAAGUCGAACGUGAAAUCCCCAGGCUCAACCUGGGAACUGCGUCCGAUACUGGAUGGCUUGAGUUCGGGAGAGGGAUGCGGAAUUCCAGGUGUAGCGGUGAAAUGCGUAGAUAUCUGGAGGAACACCGGUGGCGAAGGCGGCAUCCUGGACCGACACUGACGCUGAGGAGCGAAAAGCCAGGGGAGCAAACAGG